GAGGAAUAUAAAGGAAAGAUGAAAGAGAGUUGGUUCAUUCAUCUUUUCCAAAUGGUGGAGAAAGGAAGGAAAGAAAAUUUCUCAAGUCUUCUUCUCCAUUGCCGUGGGCUCAAUUCAAGAGGCAUUCCGAUAAUUUGGUUGCAAACCAAGACCAUUCAAGACUCUCUUGGGUUAAAACAGUGAGUGAUGUCGCAACUUGAAGGCAAGGGUCAUCGCAACAAGACAAAGUCACGUCGCGGUGUCGGGUAGGGAACGUCGUGAUGAGACUCUCUAGAAUAGCUUAAGUUAUCCAAAUAAUUAAACUACACAAUGUGUAUUUGCAAAUUUCAUUUUUAUAUAUACGUGGACUUCAAAACACCUAUGUACAUGCCAUAAUCUAGUACCAAAAUGUUAAUUUCAUACUCCA